CAGCCGCCGCGGGAAUACGGAGGGUGCAAGCGUUACUCGGAAUCACUGGGCGUAAAGGACGCGUAGGCGGAUUAUCAAGUCUCUUGUGAAAUCUAACGGCUCAACCGUUAAACUGCUUGGGAAACUGAUAAUCUAGAGUAAGGGAGAGGCAGAUGGAAUUCUUGGUGUAGGGGUAAAAUCCGUAGAUAUCAAGAAGAAUACCUAUUGCGAAGGCGAUCUGCUGGAACUUAACUGACGCUAAUGCGUGAAAGCGUGGGGAGCAAACAGGAUUAGAUACCCCCGUAGUCCCUGUCUCUUAUAA
rnacentral:rRNA from 1 species